GUGGAAGUGCAGAUUCCAUUCCAGAUCUACUCAACGUGACUCUGCAUGUUAACAAGAUUCCAAGGGGUACAAUCGGAACAAAUUCAAACAAGCAGAUUCGAGAAGUGAUUAGAAGAGAGAGAUUUCACAAGCUCCACAGUCCCCGAGUGGCACAGAAGAUGGGUGUGCACGCAUUCUCCCUGCAGUGACCGUGGACGGCCACACCUCCGGGGGAGCUCAGCGGCCGUGUCAGGAGCAGAUUCAGGGCAUGAGACAGCGAGACCUCCUGUCACAGCUGUGCUAGUGAGCCACCUCAGAAGUGGAUCUUCCAGCUAAAAUCAAGGCCGGAUACGACGGCAGCCCUGGCCAACACCUGCACGGCAGCUGCCUGAGACUACUGACGCAGAACCACCCAGCCAGACCACUGCCACGUUCCUGACCUGCAGGAACUCGGAAAUUUAAAAACGGGGUAAUUUACUAGGUUGCAAUAAAUAAUUAAUACAAAG